UACGUAGGGUGCAAGCGUUGUCCGGAAUCAUUGGGCGUAAAGAGCGUGUAGGCGGCUCGAUCAGUCCGCUGUGAAAGUCCAGGGCUCAACCCUGGAAAGCCGGUGGAUACUGUCGGGCUAGAGUACGGAAGAGGCGAGUGGAAUUCCCGGUGUAGCGGUGAAAUGCGCAGAUAUCGGGAGGAACACCAAUGGCGAAGGCAGCUUGCUGGGACGGUACUGACGCUGAGGCGCGAAAGCGUGGGGAGCAAACAGG
rnacentral:rRNA from 1 species